rnacentral:rRNA from 1 species
CCUACGGGUGGCAGCAGUGAGGAAUAUUGGUCAAUGGUCGGGAGACUGAACCAGCCAAGCCGCGUGAGGGAUGAAGGUACAGAGUAUCGUAAACCUCUUUUGUCAGGGAACAAAGGCGGGGACGUGUCCCCGGAUGAGUGUACCUGAAGAAAAAGCAUCGGCUAACUCCGUGCGAGCAGCCGCGGGAAUACGGAGGAUGCGAGAGUUAUCCGGAUUUAUUGGGCGUAAAGCGCUCGUAGGCGGUAUGUCAAGGCAAGGGUUAAAUCCCCGCGCUCAACGUGGGAACUGCCUUUGAAACUGGCAAACUGGAGUGUGUGAGAGGAUAGUGGAAUUCCAGGUGUAGGAGUGAAAUCCGUAGAUAUCUGGAGGAACAUCAGUGGCGAAGGCGACUAUCUGGCACAUAACUGACGCUGAGGAGCGAAAGCGUGGGUAGCAAACAGGAUUAGAUACCCGUGUAGUC